rnacentral:rRNA from 1 species
UACGGAGGGAGCGAGCGUUGUUCGGAAUUAUUGGGCGUAAAGCGCGUGUAGGCGGUCUGAUAAGUCUGAUGUGAAAGCCCCGGGCUCAACCUGGGAAGUGCAUUAGAACCUGUCCGACUUGAAUACGGGAGAGGGCAGUGGAAUUCCUAGUGUAGGAGUGAAAUCCGUAGAUAUUAGGAGGAACACCGGUGGCGAAGGCGGCUGCCUGGAUCGAUAUUGACGCUGAGACGCGAAAGCGUGGGGAGCAAACAGG